rnacentral:rRNA from 1 species
AACGAACGCUAGCGGCAGGCCUAACACAUGCAAGUCGAACGCUGUAGCAAUACAGAGUGGCAGACGGGUGAGUAACGCGUGGGAACGUGCCUUUCGGUUCGGAAUAACUCAGGGAAACUUGAGCUAAUACCGGAUUCGUCCUUCGGGGGAACGAUUUAUUGCCGAAAGAUCGGCCCGCGCCCGAUUAGCUAGUUGGUGUGGUAAUGGCGCACCAAGGCGACGCUCGGUAGCUGGUCUGAGAGGAUGAUCAGCCACACUGGGACUUAGACACGGCCCAGACUCCUACGGGAGGCAGCAGUGGGGAAUAUUGGACAAUGGGCGCAAGCCUGAUCCAGCCAUGCCGCGUGAGUGAUGAAGGCCCUAGGGUUGUAAAGCUCAUUCGCCAGGGACGAUAAUGACGGUACCUGGAUAAGAAGCCCCGGCUAACUUCGUGCCAGCAGCCGCAGUAA